rfam:Schizophyllum commune H4-8 unplaced genomic scaffold SCHCOscaffold_4, whole genome shotgun sequence.
GUCUGCAUGGCUCAGUUGGUUAGAGCGCCGGUCUCAUACUUUCAGUAUGCGGGUCAACAGAUCCCAAUCCGGAGAUCGCCAGUUCGAUCCUGGCUGCGGACA